rnacentral:misc_RNA from 1 species
CCAAAAGAUAAUCUUUCCAAACACCAUGUGCACAUUUUGAGGGAAUUUUGAGUAGGUCCCCACCGCUUUGGGGGGUGAUUUUCUUGUUAUUCCCUUUAAAUCAUUACACACUAUUAACAAUGUUGAACGUGCUCUGUGCCGCAAGGCCACUAAUAUAUA